rnacentral:rRNA from 1 species
UACGGAGGGGGCUAGCGUUGUCCGAAGUUACUGGGCGUAAAGCGCGCGUAGGCGGGUUGGUAAGUCCGCUGUGAAAGCCCGGAGCUCAACUCCGGAGGGUCGGUGGAUACUGCCAGUCUUGAAGGUGCUAGGGGGAGAUGGAAUUACCGGUGUAGAGGUGAAAUUCGUAGAUAUCAAGCGGAACACCGGUGGCGAAGGCGACCUUCUGGACAGUGACUGACGCUGAGACGCGAAAGCGUGGGGAGCAAACAGG